CGGAAUGUAGCGCAGCCUGGUAGCGCACCUGCUUCGGGAGCAGGGGGCCGGAGGUUCGAAUCCUCUCAUUCCGA
rfam:Geobacteraceae bacterium GWC2_58_44 gwc2_scaffold_1483, whole genome shotgun sequence.